rnacentral:rRNA from 1 species
CAUGCAAGUCGAGCGGUAAGGCCCUUCGGGGUACACGAGCGGCGAACGGGUGAGUAACACGUGGGUGAUCUGCCCUGCACUUCGGGAUAAGCCUGGGAAACUGGGUCUAAUACCGGAUAUGACCUUCGGCUGCAUGGCUGAGGGUGGAAAGGUUUACUGGUGCAGGAUGGGCCCGCGGCCUAUCAGCUUGUUGGUGGGGUAAUGGCCUACCAAGGCGACGACGGGUAGCCGACCUGAGAGGGUGACCGGCCACACUGGGACUGAGACACGGCCCAGACUCCUACGGGAGGCAGCAGUGGGGAAUAUUGCACAAUGGGCGAAAGCCUGAUGCAGCGACGCCGCGUGAGGGAUGACGGCCUUCGGGUUGUAAACCUCUUUCAGCAGGGACGAAGCGAAAGUGACGGUACCUGCAGAAGAAGCACCGGCUAACUACGUGCCAGCAGCCGCGGUAAUACGUAGGGUGCAAGCGUUGUCCGGAAUUACUGGGCGUAAAGAGUUCGUAGGCGGUUUGUCGCGUCGUUUGUGAAAACUCACAGCUCAACUGUGAGCCUGCAGGCGAUACGGGCAGACUUGAGUACUGCAGGGGAGACUGGAAUUCCUGGUGUAGCGGUGAAAUGCGCAGAUAUCAGGAGGAACACCGGUGGCGAAGGCGGGUCUCUGGGCAGUAACUGACGCUGAGGAACGAAAGCGUGGGUAGCAAACAGGAUUAGAUACCCUGGUAGUCCACGCCGUAAACGGUGGGCGCUAGGUGUGGGUUCCUUCCACGGGAUCUGUGCCGUAGCUAACGCAUUAAGCGCCCCGCCUGGGGAGUACGGCCGCAA